UACGGAAGGCAGCAGGGGGGAAUAUUGCACAAUGGGCGCAAGCCUGAUGCAGCCAUGCCGCGUGUAUGAAAAAGGCCUUCGGGUUGUAAAGUACUUUCAGUCGUGAGGAAGGUGUUAAGGUUAAUAACCUUAGCAAUUGACGUUAGCGACAGAAGAAGCACCGGCUAACUCCGUGCCAGCAGCCGCGGUAAUACGGAGGGUGCGAGCGUUAAUCGGAAUUACUGGGCGUAAAGGGCACGCAGGCGGUUAAUUAAGUUGGAUGUGAAAUCCCCGGGCUUAACCUGGGAAUGGCAUUCAAGACUGGUUAGCUAGAGUCUUGUAGAGGGGGUUAGAAGUUCCAUGUGUAGCGGUGAAUGCGUAGAGAUGUGGAGGAAUACCGGUGGCGAAGGGCGGCCCCUGGGACAAAGACUGACGCUCAUGUGCGAAAGCGUGGGGAGCAAACAGGGAUAGAUACC
rnacentral:rRNA from 1 species